UACGUAAGGGGCGAGCGUUGUUCGGGAUUAUUGGGCGUAAAGGGUGAGUAGGCGGAUAUGUAAGUCUUGUGUAAAAUAUCACAGCUCAACUGUGGGAAUAUGCAAGAAACUACAUGACUAGAGUCUGAUAGGGGAAGUUAGAAUUUCUGGUGUAAGGGUGGAAUCUGUUGAUAUCAGAAGGAAUACCAGAGGCGAAGGCGAACUUCUGGGUUAAGACUGACGCUGAGUCACGAAAGCGUAGGGAGCAAACA
rnacentral:rRNA from 1 species